CCAUCCAAAUGACUGCCACGUAUUUGGAGUUGCGAUAGCAAUCUCUGCUUUCCGGGUUUGAAUGAUAAUAAUUUCAAUUUUGCAAUAUUUCUUUUCGUUUCUAAAAGGAAAAGUAACGCUUAAAGAAAUCUUUAUUUCGAAUGCUUAUCCUUGUUCUGAGAAAAGAUUUCGUUAAUCCCAGAUUAGAAAGAGAAAUCGGAUUAAGAGUCGGGGAAUAAACGCCGUGCCGUUUGUUUUGAUUCGAUAACACGCGCUUUCGCGCUGUAGACACUUGUUGACACGAACCCGGUGUUUGGGUAGCACGAUUGUACUUCGGUAAUCUUCGCGGUCACGUGACCGAUCUAGGGGGGUACAACGCAUCUCCUUGUCAGUCACCGUUUACUGUAUUCGGCGCGAGCACGUGAUUCGAUCGAGUGCGUGUCUAUCAUCAAAUUUAUCAAAUUUAUCCAAUCGUUAUGCAAAUUUCGGUGUUAAUCGGGAUGAAUAGUACUUGAGAAACAGUGUGCAGUGUUGUGAUAGUUGAAAGACUCUCCACGUGACGUGUUUUGAGGAUUUGACGCUGGAUUUGAUAGACGCCAACCGGACGCCAUUUUCUCAUCCCUCGAACGGAGCAUCGUGCCGGAGGUGCAUACAACCGGUAAACACAACGCAAGACGACCAGCUCAACGGCUGUGAGCUGAUCUAUCUUGCUAAACGCUACGCAGCAUCGAAACGGGGGAUCGAGGUACUUUUGGAGGACCACGGAUGACGCGUACGAAAAUGGACGAAGCACGCGGAUGGAAGGGUAUAUGCGAAAGUAUACGAGAGAGAAGAGAUUUCCUACGAAGCACUGACCAGUGGUCGCAACGAAGGAGCCAGUCGGCCUCGAUUUGAGUCACGGAAUAAAUUUCUGCGGAGUGUGGGAGCGAACCGGUCGAGGUCCUCGUCUCUAAUUGACCCCACUUUACUGCGAAACUCAGGCGACUACGCGGGCAGAUUUCAGUCCGCACGCGGGCAUGCCUAGAUUUUCGCUGAUUACACGCGCUUCCGUGAUAGGAAAACCACCUGAUAGAUGCCAGUUCGACAGGACACGUUUUAUCUGUUUCAUUUUGGUACGAGCUAUAACCACACUCAUACAGAUUAAGAUUAUCUCUGAAUUUUUCAUCUGGGAUGAAUACAAUCGUUUGAAUGAUGGAAGCCAUCGAAAAUGACACAUUACGAGAAACAUGUAAUAACAUGAAUAAAAAUAAAGAUGAAUUUAUAAAAAUUAAACAGUAUCCUUUUUAAAUAAUACCCAAACUGUCUACAAAAUAAUAAGUUCCUUGGACUGUAACAAUUCAAAAAAAUGUCUCUCUUAAAAAUCACCCAAAAUCGACGAUUCUAAUGAAGAACACUCCCUUAAAUUCUCCUCAAUUUGACUAAAACCUGCUUGUUAAACUUUCGAUACGAAACCAUCCCAACUAUCCUCGCAAUUUUUAUUUAAAAGUUAUUAGAAUAAUGGCAAGAUCCUUUGGAAAACUUUCUGCGGCAUUUAACACUUGUUCUGGUCUCCCCAGUCGUAUAGCCUCAGGUCCGUUGUCCCUUCUUGCGUCGAAAACGUAACAUUACGGAACUUGGCAGCUCGGGGGGCAUUCCUGAAGCCUGUGCAACGUGGCGCUCCGGUUACAAGCCUUCCAGGGGAUGGAAUUCCGAUCGUAGGUGGUGCUCGAGCAGAAAGGAAACGGCCUUUGUCCUCGGGGAGCAGGGAUCGCAUACGUAUCCAUCGACGGCCAGCAAUAAUUAGGACGGCCUGGCCCGCGGUGAGGAUUUCAAGAAUAUUUGCGAACCGACAGGCUUCGACGAAUCGACGACGAGUACCGCAGCCAAGGAAUUUCGUGGGUGGGUGGGUCACAUCCUGAGGACAGGUCCCUGCAGCGCUUUCGGUACUCUGUCCUUUUGGUACCAUCAUUUUCGCAAGAAUGUCUUCCUCCUUUUAUUUAUUCGACGAUAUUGAUGACUUUGAUGACCAGUGUGAUUUUGAUGAAUAUUUUGAUAAAUACUGUUUGAUUAUACGAUAUUAUCCGAUUUACCCAAAUCACCUGAGCAUCUUAAUUUCUCCAUAUAUUUUUUUCCUUCUUAUCUCAUUCUCCAUUUAACUUCACCUAAAUUACAAAACGUCGUAGACGUUCGAGUUACGGCAGGGCGCGUUAAUUUCUCUCCCCCUACAUAAAUUCUCCCUCGCAAAAUUGCCGGUUCCCGGGUCGUGAACGUAAUGAUGGUAAAUCGGAGAAUCCCUUAACGCAGACUCGUUCAGAGAUUUCGUAAACUGGAGUACCACGGCGAUUCAUGGAACCGCUUCGACCGAAAACGAUGAAUCCGGUGGCCUCGGACGCGCAAAACGCGCGCGGGUGGAAGAUUGCAUGAUUGCCCGGUGAUUAUGGGAAAUUUUCGAAAAGUCCUAGAGUACCUGGCUUCGAUACCCUCUUCGACACUCCGCGGUAAUCGCUUUUACCCGCUUAAUUGCGUAAUAGAGGUUCUCUUUGAUCGUACCGACCGACGACUUUAUUUUAAUACAGAUUUUUUAUUUAUUCAGGAUCUAAGAUCGAUGAUUUUCCAUCCGAUCUGAUCCAAUUAGCUACGCUUGAAAUUUCAUUCCAGACACAUUUUUUAAACAUUAAAUCAUCGCAUCAAAUAUUAUUUUUCAACAGGUAAAAAUUUCUCCUUUAAAAAUUACAUAGGUUUUUUAAAUUUGGGUCACAAUUGAGCCCGCACCCUCUAACGAUUUAGAAAAUUUCAAGAACGUUUCACAAUCAAGGGUGUUCUUUAAUGUAACUGAGAUACCACGAUAAUUAAUAACGUAAAUUUUAUUGUUUAAAUUAGAUGUGACAGUAUUAUGUCGUAUCUACAGGAAAAGUACAAAGUUAUAAGUUAUACUAUAUCAUAUGUAUAUAUGUAUAUAUUAUAAUAAGGUAAUUAUCGUACGAGAUAACGAAGAGGUUUCAUAAUUCAGCGUUUUUUAACCGAGUUCGAUGGGGAAGUCGUCAGGUAUUACGAUCGUUUCGAAACAGGGGUGCAAGGAACGCGUGAGGGAUAACGAGAUGUGAUCAGUGGGGUGACAAUGUGUUAAAUCGUGAAAAAUAGAAAAAUAAGUGUGUAAUCGCCGAAAGCAGCCACGACAGAAGGCACGACAAAUUGCUACAGAGAAGCCAGAUGCUCGCUUCCUCGUUCCUCUUCCUUCCACGACUCUGUCUUUCGCUUCGAAAUCCUGCUCGAUCGAUCAUUCAAUGGAUAGAAAGAAAGAAAAAAAAAGAACGAUAUUAAGGCAGCAUCGUGCGGUAAAACGAAAUCACUUUUUGCCACGACAAGCGAUGACUUUCUUCCGUCAUUGUAUGCGAUCGUUCGAACGUCACAACUCGGAGUCUUUACAUUCGAAGGGUACAUGUAUGAUUCGCAAGAAGAACACGCGAGACGCGGUUCGUUCUCUCAUUGUUUGUAGCUGGAAAUAAAACCCAAAGGACAUCGUGAUCCUCGCGAAAACGUUGCAUGUAUGUACAAGGAGAAAUACGAUCGUUUAAGCGUUGAAACAGAAAUUUCUCCUUCGAUUUUUUCCCGAUUUCCCCGGCUACUUCGACAGCUUUGGCGAUUUCGACAAGCGACGACCUUAAAUCUAAAAAGCUAGAAUUCUCUGCUUAUCGUGCUACGAUAACGACGCGUAAGGACGCGUCGAGAUCAUUCGAGUCCAGAGAAAAUCUCGUUUCUCCUCUCUUGGUAAAUCCUCUUGGUAAAAAAUAGCGAUUAAUAAUGAGCGUACGUAUAAUACGUUGAUUCUCUUAAUACGAAUAGGUAAUCUAUCAUAUCAUAGAAGUAUAUAAUAUAUGCGAAUAUUUGGCGUGACUUCGGGGAUCGAUAAAAGGACAAGGGAUGAUGAUGAUUUUCAUGGGGAGAAACGGUGUUGUUCUAUUUCCAAGGUUUAAAUGAAACAAAGGAAAGGUGAGUAAUGAAAGAAGGUCGAUAGACGAACUCAGAGAAAAACGUAGAUCUUCGCAAUUGUUAUUUUCUAUGCAAGUAAAUCUAGAUUCUAUCUGCAACGAAAGGGUAAGAGGGUAAGGAGUAAGAGAGCAUUUAAAGACUAAGAAAAUAAAUCAAGGGCAAUUGCGACGUUUCGGGAAAGAUUUUCGUCUCCCAUGGUUCGAGGCUCUUAACGCUACCGCUAACUUAUUUACAUCAAGGUAAACACACAACCGCGAAGAAACUAUAAAAUGGAGAGACAAACGUUACACCACGAAUCUAACAAGCGACACGCUCGAUUUCGACUCAAGAAAAUAUUCUCGAUCGUUUUGAAAUUGCGACCGCGAUGAUUCAUUUUUUAAAAUCCUAUGUCCGCGAAUCCUCGCCGGUGUUCCCGACCUCGCGUCCGUCGAGUGUCUCCGAAUUUAAUAAUAUUCCGUCAGUUCUUUCGCAGUCUUAUGAUUCCUACCAGACUCGUCGAUGCUCUUCGACGCAUCGUUCAAUCACGAAAUUGAACUUUCAUUAAUCUCAACCGAGCUUCGCAAAGCGUGCAACGUUUGCUCGGCAAACACGUUACGAUGUUUUUCAUCUGCGUGCGAAUAUUUUCAAGGAAGAUUUCUUUUAAUUGGUCAUGGUUGAAUCACGCGCGAGUACACGAGGAAAAACUUUCUUCCCGUUUUAACAAGAAAUUCGCACGCCGAUAUCGCUCGCGAUCGCUCCUUCCUUCAUCGUUGUUUCCUGCAACGAUUUCCUAUA